CUCUGACCUCUGAAACAUCUCGCUUUGAGCUUUCCACAGGCAUACUUACUAGGAAAAGUUGUGGAAAAUUCGAUGCUCAGCUUACAGUCCCAAGAACAUGAAUAAGCUCCUCUGCCAGUUUAAAAAAAAGAUGGAUGUUGUUUCUGGGAGAAGGAUGGCGUACAGUGGCUCAGACGGGAGACGGAUAGUGGAGACAGCAGAGAACUGA